rnacentral:rRNA from 1 species
GACGAACGUUUGCGGCGUGCUUAACACAUGCAAGUCGAACGGAAAGGCCCUGCUUUUGUGGGGUGCUCGAGUGGCGAACGGGUGAGUAACACGUGAGUAACCUGCCCUUGACUUUGGGAUAACUUCAGGAAACUGGGGCUAAUACCGGAUAGGAGCUCCUGCUGCAUGGUGGGGGUUGGAAAGUUUCGGCGGUUGGGGAUGGACUCGCGGCUUAUCAGCUUGUUGGUGGGGUAGUGGCUUACCAAGGCUUUGACGGGUAGCCGGCCUGAGAGGGUGACCGGCCACAUUGGGACUGAGAUACGGCCCAGACUCCUACGGGAGGCAGCAGUGGGGAAUAUUGCACAAUGGGCGGAAGCCUGAUGCAGCAACGCCGCGUGCGGGAUGACGGCCUUCGGGUUGUAAACCGCUUUCGCCUGUGACGAAGCGUGAGUGACGGUAAUGGGUAAAGAAGCACCGGCUAACUACGUGCCAGCAGCCGCGGUGAUACGUAGGGUGCGAGCGUUGUCCGGAUUUAUUGGGCGUAAAGAGCUCGUAGGUGGUUGAUCGCGUCGGAAGUGUAAUCUUGGGGCUUAACCCUGAGCGUGCUUUCGAUACGGGUUGACUUGAGGAAGGUAGGGGAGAAUGGAAUUCCUGGUGGAGCGGUGGAAUGCGCAGAUAUCAGGAGGAACACCAGUGGCGAAGGCGGUUCUCUGGGCCUUUCCUGACGCUGAGGAGCGAAAGCGUGGGGAGCGAACAGGCUUAGAUACCCUGGUAGUCCACGCUGUAAACGGUGGGUACUAGGUGUGGGGUCCAUUCCACGGGUUCCGUGCCGUAGCUAACGCUUUAAGUACCCCGCCUGGGGAGUACGGCCGCAAGGCUAAAACUCAAAGGAAUUGACGGGGCCCCGCACAAGCGGCGGAGCAUGCGGAUUAAUUCGAUGCAACGCGUAGAACCUUACCUGGGUUUGACAUGGAUCGGGAGUGCUCAGAGAUGGGUGUGCCUCUUUUGGGGUCGGUUCACAGGUGGUGCAUGCCUGUCGUCAGCUCGUGUCGUGAGAUGUUGGGUUAAGUCCCGCAACGAGCGCAACCCUUGUUCACUGUUGCCAGCACGUUAUGGUGGGGACUCAGUGGAGACCGCCGGGGUCAACUCGGAGGAAGGUGGGGAUGACGUCAAGUCCUCAUGCCCCUUAUGUCCAGGGCUUCACGCAUGCUACAAUGGCUGGUACAGAGAGUGGCGAGCCUGUGAGGGUGAGCGAAUCUCGGAAAGCCGGUCUCAGUUCGGAUUGGGGUCUGCAACUCGACCUCAUGAAGUCGGAGUCGCUAGUAAUCGCAGAUCAGCAACGCUGCGGUGAAUACGUUCCCGGG